GUUUCCAAGUUGAAGUUACGAAAUCGAACAAGUGGUGGUUCGGUGAUAAUCGAGAGUUCGAUUACGCUAUCCGCUACCACGAUCGAUCAUCGCCAUUGCUUUAUUGCCAAAUCCAAUUGCUCCGCGCUCGAGCGAACACUCGUGUAUAAACUCCGGGCAUAUAUUCGGGCUCGAACAAAGUGUGCUCUGCGAGUAACAAAAGAGAGAAAGAUAGAUAAGACGAUAUCAUUCGAUUGCAUCGCAGUUGUAUAUAUAUAUAUAUAUAUACGUAUACAUAUACGUAUACAUAUACAUACAUACAUACAUACAUAUAUAUAUAUGUGUGUGUGUGUGUGUGUGUGUGUGUGUGU